AGUGAACGCUGGCGGUAGGCUUAACACAUGCAAGUCGAACGGCAGCACCUUUAGAGCUUGCUUCUACGGGUGGCGAGUUGCGUACGGGUUAGGUAUACUUCGCUACCUACUUUUUUGUGGGUGAUAACGUAGGUCUACUUACGCUAAUACCGCAUACUACCUACGUGUGAUAGCAGGUUAUCUUCGUAUCUUGCGCGCUCGAAUGCGCCGAUGUCGGAUUAGCUAGUUGGCGGGGUAAAGGCCCACCAAGGCGACGAUCCGUAGCUGGUCUGAGAGGAUGAACAGGCACACUGGAACUGAGACACGGUCCAGACUCCUACGGGAGGCAGAAGUGGGGAAUAUUGGAAAAAGGGGGCAAGACUGAUCAAGCCAUACAGCGUGGGUGAAGAAGGCCUUCGGGUUGGAAAGCCCUUUUGUUGGGAAAGAAAAGCAGCAGGAUAAAACCCCGCUGUUCUGACGGUACCCAAAGAAUAAGCACCGGCUAACUUCGUG
rnacentral:rRNA from 1 species